GUCAAUGAAGUGUGUGAGAUAAAGGCAGAUGGUGCCACAGGAGGGACAGCAUAGCAUGGAAGAAAGCAGAUAAAACAAAGGAACCAGAACCACAUCCACUGAUCGGAUUUGCCUGGGGAGGAGGGGUGCUCUCUCCUUUGAUCUUCUCAUCUGUAAGAGAUGGACCAAAAGCCUCUCCAGCAAUAAUCUGUCCACUUACAUGCACAUUUUCUUCUGCGUCUGCCACCCCUGAGACAGCAAGACCAACUCUCCUCUUCCUCCUCCUCCUCCUCAGCCUACUCACCUCGAGACAAUGAGUAUGAAGAUCUUUAUGAUGAUCCACUUCCACAUAAUAAAUAGUAAAUAUGUUUUCUCUUCCUUGUUAUUUGCUUUAUAACAUUUUCUUUUCUCUAACUCAUUUUAUUGUAACAGUACUGUAUAUAAUACAUAUAACAUACAAAA
rnacentral:sRNA from 1 species